GUCCUUUAGAAAUAAAUUUAAGGUCUAACCUGCCCACUGAAAAUUUUAAAUGGCCGCAGUAUUCUAACUGUGCAAAGGUAGCAUAAUCAUUAGUUUUUUAAUUGAAGGCUAGAAUGAAUGGUUGGACGAGAUAUUAACUGUUUCAUUUAAAUUUAUAAUAGAAUUUUAUUUUUUAGUUAAAAAGCUAAAAUAAUUUUAAAAGACGAGAAGACCCUAUAGAUCUUUAUAAUUUAAUAUUUUUAAUUAUAAAGAUUAUUUAAAUUAUAAUUUAUUAAAUUAUUUUGUUGGGGUGACAUUAAAAUUUGAAUAACUUUUAAUAAUUAUUAAACAUUUAUUUAUGAAUAAUUGAUCCAUUAUUAUUGAUUAAAAAUUUAAGUUACCUUAGGGAUAACAGCGUAAUUUUUUUGGAGAGUUCAUAUCGAUAAAAAAGAUUGCGACCUCGAUGUUGGAUUAAGAUAUAAUUUUGGGUGUAGCCGUUCAAAUUUUAAGUCUGUUCGACUUUUAAAUUCUU
rnacentral:rRNA from 1 species